UAUAGGGGAACGAAGGCUAAAGGCAUCACGUCCUGUGAUAACGCCUUCGUGACCAACAUCCUGCCGC
rnacentral:sRNA from 1 species